UUCCGUCCAUGCAGUUGACAAAAGCCUCCGUACGCUCUCGCCCAUGUUCAUAUAAGGAACAGUCCCGGAGGUGUUCUUGAGCAGCACCCAGAAGACAGUGACUUGUAUUCUGUGUCCUCCUAGGUGUCGCGAAGCUGAAAAAGCGGGGGCCCCUUCUUGAAACGAGGCAGCAGGCUGGUGCUGAGGUGGCCGUAGGAGCACAGGACACAGGUGUCCCCGAGGAGGAAAGAAGGCGGCACCAUCC